UACGAAGGGGGCUAGCGUUGCUCGGAAUUACUGGGCGUAAAGGGAGCGUAGGCGGACAUUUAAGUCAGAGGUGAAAUCCCGGAGCUUAACUUCGGAACUGCCUUUGAUACUGGGUGUCUUGAGUGUGAGAGAGGUAUGUGGAACUCCGAGUGUAGAGGUGAAAUUCGUAGAUAUUCGCAAGAACACCAGUGGCGAAGGCGGCUCACUGGCUCGGUACUGACGCUGAGGUGCGAAAGCGUGGGGAGCAAACAGG
rnacentral:rRNA from 1 species